GAUGAACGCUAGCUACAGGCUUAACACAUGCAAGUCGAGGGGAAACGGCAUUGAGUGCUUGCACUCUUUGGACGUCGACCGGCGCACGGGUGAGUAACGCGUAUCCAACCUUCCCAUUACUGUGGGAUAACCUGCCGAAAGGCAGACUAAUACCGCAUAGUCUUCGAUGACGGCAUCAGAUUUGAAGUAAAGAUUUAUCGGUAAUGGAUGGGGAUGCGUCUGAUUAGCUUGUUGGCGGGGUAACGGCCCACCAAGGCUACGAUCAGUAGGGGUUCUGAGAGGAAGGUCCCCCACAUGGGAACUGGGACACGGUCCAAACUCCUACGGGAGGCAGCAGUGAGGAAUAUUGGUCAAUGGACGGAAGUCUGAACCAGCCAAGUAGCGUGCAGGAGGACGGCCCUAUGGGUUGUAAACUGCUUUUGGAGGGGGAUAAAGUUAGGGACGUGUCCCUAUUUGCAGGUACCAUACGAAUAAGGACCGGCUAAUUCCGUG
rnacentral:rRNA from 1 species